AGAGAAUCGCGCUUCGGGCGGGGCGCAGCGCGGCGCCGGGAUUGGGCGGCGGGCGACGGCAGGGGCUCGCCGCGCCUCGGCGCAUGUGCGGCGCGGAGCGCGGCGGCCCGCUUGGCGCCGGCUGUCAGUGAGCAUCCAGGAGCCGGUGCCCCGGGUGCCCUCCGCCCGCCCGCCCAGUGCGCUGCUCCCUCAGCGCCUCCGGCCGCGCACCUGCCCGCCGCCCGCCCGCGCCCGCCCCGCGCGCGGCCGGCCCGGGCGCAGCGCUGCGGCGGCGAGGGCCGCCGGAGCCGGGCCGGCGCGGCGAUGAUGAACAGGUUCCGAAAGUGGCUGUACAAACCCAAGAGGUCAGACCCACAUCUGCUGGCCCAGUUCUACUAUGCGGACGAGGAGCUGAACCAGGUGGCAGCCGAGCUGGACAGCCUGGACGGGCGCAAGGACCCGCAGCGGUGCACGCUGCUCGUCAGCCAGUUCCGCUCCUGCCAGGACAACGUGUUAAACGUGAUUAACCAGAUCAUGGAUGUGUGCAUUCCCCAGGACCGAGCCCCACGGGAUUUUUGUGUCAAGUUCCCUGAGGAGAUCCGACACGACAACCUGGCCGGCCAGCUGUGGUUUGGCGCCGAGUGCCUGGCCGCCGGCUCCAUCAUCAUGAACCGCGAGCUGGAGAGCAUGGCCAUGCGCCCACUGGCCAAGGAGCUGACCCGCAGCCUGGAGGAUGUGCGGGGCGCCCUCCGCGACCAGGCACUGCGGGAUCUGAGCACCUACACGGAGAAGAUGCGGGAGGCACUGAGGCACUUCGACGUCCUGUUUGCCGAGUUCGAGCUGAGCUACGUGUCGGCCAUGGUGCCUGUGAAGUCCCCCAGGGAGUACUACGUGCAGCAGGAAGUCAUCGUGCUAUUCUGUGAGACAGUGGAGAGGGCCUUGGGCUUCGGAUACCUGACCCAGGACAUGAUUGAUGACUAUGAGCCGGCUCUCAUGUUCACCAUACCCCGGUUGGCCAUCGUGUGCAGCCACUCUGGGCCAGACAGGGUGGGUCCCGGGACCUGCUCCUUCCUGUAUGCACCCACCGGGCAUGUGUUGAGCACCUGCUGUGUACUUGGCCCUGUGCUUGUCCCCAGGGACCCCAUGACGCCCACAAGGGAGGUGUGCAGAAAUGGAGGAGAUGACCCUCAAAUUUAUAUGGAGAUGCAGUGGACCUUGAUGAGCCAAAAACAGUACUGAAAAACAAAACUGAGGACUCAUACAUCCUGAUUUCAGAAUGUACUGCAGUGCUAUGGUGAUCAAGUGUGGUACUAUCAUAAGGACAGACCAGUGGAAUAAAAUAAAGAGGCCAGAAAUAAACCCAAAUACCUAUAGCCAGUUGCUUUUUAACAGGGUGCCAAGACAGGUCAAUGAGGAAGGAACAGUCUCUUUUGCAAAUGAUGCUGGGACAACUAGAACCACAUGUGGAAGAAUGAAGUUGGACCUUGUGAUGAUUAAUUUUGUGUGUCUGCCAGAUAUUUGGUCAGACACCUGUUUGGAUGUUGCUGUUAGGCAUUUUAAGGAUGAGAUUAACAUUUAGAUCAGCAGACUCUGAGUAAUGUAGUUUGCUGUCCAUAACAUGGGUGGGUCUUAUCUGAUCAGUGGAAGGCUUAUGAGAAAACAGACUGAGGUCCCCACGGAAGAGGGAAUUCUACCUCCAGACUGUGUUUGGACUCAAGCUACAGUAUCAACUCCUCCCGGGGUCUCCGGCAUGCUGGCCUGCUCUGCAGAUUUUAAACUUGCCAGCUCCACAGUCAUGUGAGCCAGUUCCUUAAAAUAAGUACCUCCUUCCUCUGCAGACAGGUAGGUAGAUGUGCGCACACGCACACUUCCCCUGGGUUGUUUCUCUGGAGAACAGGAGGUAGUCUUCAUCUUCUCAGACUUGGCAAUGGCUUCUUAGAUUCGACACCAAAAGUAUGAGCAACAAGUGAAAAAUAGAUAAAUUGGACUCUUCAAAACUAAAACUUUUGUGCAUCCAGGACAUUACGAAGAGAGUGAGAAGAGAACCUAAAGAAUGGGAGCGGGUGCCCUGGCUUUCUCCUCCCUGUUGGGCGUACUCCCACCUGCUCACCUGGGCCAGGCCCCUCACUGUGCACUCAGCAAACUGCCACCUCCACCCCAUCUAUGCUGAGGUUCCCCAGGGUCCAGCCACCUGCCUGCCAGGCUCAGCUGUGGGCUGCCUUGCCCCCCUUUGGCCAUGGCAUGAAGAGGGCCUCUGAGCCCUGUGGCAGCACAGUGCCAGGACCCCCAGUCCUCUCAGGCAGUAGGCAUGGGUGGCAGCUGCAUGGGACCCAGCUGCCUCCUUUGAUGGCUCCUUCCCAGGCCCUCUCACUUCCCCCAGGCACUCUGCAUCAGUGCCUGCACCAGUAAGACACAGCAAAUGUUUGCUGAGCCCCUGCUAGGUUGUGAAGACCAGCCUCGCCCUUGCCCUCAGGGGCUCCUGGUCAUGGGGACACAGACAACAUGUGUGUCCCAUGGGCCUUCUCUCUGCCCCAUCCUGGGUGGUCAGUGGCACUUCCCAGAGCUGCUGAGCAGGAGGGCUCGCUGGCACAGAGCACAUGCUUCCCUGAGUGCCCCAGCAUGCCGAGCGCCACUGGAUUCUGGGACAAAGCUGGGCAAAGUCCUCAGGUCCCCUGACCUCCCACGAGGUUGGCAUGGCAGCCUUGGAGGUCUGUGCCUAGAGCCCUCCUAAUUAACGGAUUCUUUUCUGAGACUCCAGACAAGCCACGGCCAACCACGGAUACAGUGCUCACAGCACUGAUGGGGCGGCUGGUGACCUUCCCAGGACCCAGGAGAGGGGCCACCGUACCUCCCUGCCUGGCUCCCUUCACUGCUUUCUGAAAGAAGAGAUUGCCAGGAAGGGAUUAUCCACGGAGAAGGGGUUCACUAAACCUACCCCUUUCUGCCCACUUUCACUCUGCCUUUGUGCUGAGACCACCGGAUCUAUCCACAAAAUUAAGUUUCCAUCUGGGGAAAUUGUGCCCCAAACACUAUUAAUUUAACCAGAACCAUCAGCUCAUGAAUGAUGUCUAGAGCAGACAGGACAGGACAGAAGCCUCUGCCCUUCUCCCUCAUGCUGGAUGCAGGCCCUUGUCGUAACCCCAACCCUCCUGCCUAGGGACCCUCAGCUACAGCUUGUGGCCUGGCCUCCCUGGGAGGCUGUGUAGCCCAUGUUUUUUCCUGUGACUUUUGAAGCUUUUUGCACAAGAAACCCAACCUUUUAAAGGGAAGAAUAACCCCUUCAUUCAGUUUUACCAGUUUUUCCCAUUGACGGUGGAGGCGUUCUUGAACUAAUGGACUCUGAGUUGGAUGUGGUGAGCAGACCCCAGGUCCCCAUUCACUUGCAGAGACAUGCAGGCAGCUCUCUGUUUCCACAGACAAACCCUCAAGGGCCUCAUCUUUGCUCUGAGGGGAAGCAAGGGGACAGGUGGACAUUCGCUGGGCACCCAAGGUGUGCUCAGAUGGGGGUCCCAGGAGAGACACCCAGGGAAGGUCCCCUGGAAGGGUGUGCGCUCAGAGAGGCAGGUCUGGACGUGGGUGAUGGUGCGUGCCUGGAGCUGGGCAAGGCUGUGUGCUGUGUGUGGUGAGAUUGCCACGGGUGAAUGUCGUGCUGCCUGUGGAACGGGAGAUGGUCUGGAGGUGACAUCUAAGCAGAGUCAGAUGGGCCCAGGGCCCCAAUCCAAUGGAAGGAGUGCGCUCAAGGCACAGGGAUGCUCCAGAGAGAGGGUCUGUCCUGCCUGGGGGUGGCAGGAGGCUGCCUCCCAUCUUGAAGGAUGAUGGAGGGAGGGCCAGACCUCUGGGAGGGAAAGGCGGGUUUGGGGCAGCCCGGGCAAAGCCAGGAGAGCCAUGAGCACAUGGCUUGUGAGGGCCCCGGGAUUCUGGAGUGGGCUGGGCAGGGAGGGGUGGCACUGGCUUGUCACAGUCUGCUGUGGCUCGGGGAACCAGGAGAGACAGUGGUCAGCGUGUUAGACUCGGGCAGCACCUGGACUUCAGGGAGUGGACAGGGACCUGUGUGGAUGGCUCUGAGAGAACCGUGGGAGGCUGGGAGGGCAGCCUGGAGGGCACAUGCAUGAGAAGUCCCCCUCUUGUGCAGGGUGUCCCUGACACCCCCAGCGCCAGAGGCUCGGGGUCACCAGCGGGCAGGACACAGUUCUCACCUCUGACAUCUCUCCCACUUUGGAAUUUGCAGCUCUAGUUCUCACCAUCCUUCACAUUUGUGUUUAAACAAACCCAAAUCUAGUUUUUCCAUUUUCAAGGACGUAGAUUUUAGUAGCAAAUCAUGAUGCUGGUUUAUCUGACUGCAGCAGGGAUGUGUGCAGAUACUUUUUUAUGAUUAUUUUAAGCUCCCUCAAAUGAGUGCAAGCUGAUCAAGUUUGAAGAUGGUGACGUCUGAGUCUGAGUAACAGUUCUCACUGUCUUAAGAUUUGAUCACAAGGGACAAAGCACGCUGGGCUCGUGGUCUACGCGGAUGGACCUCUGAAUUUGGACCGCAAGGCGGAAGACAUGUCCGAGCUGUUCCGGCCUUUCCACACGCUGCUGCGGAAAAUAAG